AUGGAGCCGACCUUGAAAUACCACCCUUUAAUGUUUGAUGUUCUAACGUUGACCCGUAAUCCGGGUUGCGGACAGUGUCUGGUGGGUAGUUUGACUGGGGCGGUCUCCUCCUAAAGAGUAACGGAGGAGCACGAAGGUUGGCUAAUCCUGGUCGGACAUCAGGAGGUUAGUGCAAUGGCAUAAGCCAGCUUGACUGCGAGCGUGACGGCGCGAGCAGGUGCGAAAGCAGGUCAUAGUGAUCCGGUGGUUCUGAAUGGAAGGGCCAUCGCUCAACGGAUAAAAGGUACUCCGGGGAUAACAGGCUGAUACCGCCCAAGAGUUCAUAUCGACGGCGGUGUUUGGCACCUCGAUGUCGGCUCAUCACAUCCUGGGGCUGAAGUAGGUCCCAAGGGUAUGGCUGUUCGCCAUUUAAAGUGGUACGCGAGCUGGGUUUAGAACGUCGUGAGACAGUUCGGUCCCUAUCUGCCGUGGGCGCUGGAGAACUGAGGGGGGCUGCUCCUAGUACGAGAGGACCGGAGUGGACGCAUCACUGGUGUUCGGGUUGUCAUGCCAAUGGCACUGCCCGGUAGCUAAAUGCGGAAGAGAUAAGUGCUGAAAGCAUCUAAGCACGAAACUUGCCCCGAGAUGAGUUCUCCCUGACUCCUUGAGAGUCCUGAAGGAACGUUGAAGACGACGACGUUGAUAGGCCGGGUGUGUAAGCGCAGCGAUGCGUUGAGCUAACCGGUAC
rnacentral:rRNA from 1 species